GUAGAAAGAAAAAUGGGAAAAAUUCAUUGUCCUGAGAAGUUUGCCAACUGCCUCAUUUUGGGGCAUGUUUUAAAAUAUAAAAGAAAGGAUUUUUAAUCUCAAAAUUGGUUUGCUGAAUGCCUCCCUUACGUUUUUCCUUGUUGACAGCUAAGCAAACAAACCCUUUUUAAUGUUCUAAAAACUGUACACAGACAAGUACAUUCAUGAUAUAAUUAACUACUAACUUCUCUUGCUUAACAAAGAACCCAUAGGACACAGAAACAGUGAAUCAGUUCACUGGACAGGGACAAACUACAAUUUAUACGGAGGAAAAAAUGUUUCCAAAUCUUCUUUUUGUCUCCCACCUUUUCCUUUUAUACUGUAUAUUGGACCAGUUUCUAAACCAAUAAUCGUCUCCUCCUUUAAGUUCAUGGUUUUGCCUUAAUCAAAAUCCAGGGCUUUGUGUUUGUUUUGUUGUUUUCUUUUCCAUACGCUGAAGUUGAAAUCUCCGAUGCUGGGAAUGCUGUUUUCGUAGGCUACAAUUGGUCGCUUGGGUGGUCUCUAUCAGCUUCUGGUUUGACAGUUUGGCCGGGAGAAGGAGCAUGGGGCGGGUGGGCUACAGCAGGGAGGCCGUGUGAUAAAGACAUAGGGUUGGGGACAAUUCCUUCUACUGCUGUAGGUAUGCCAGUCGGAGCCACACUUACAACACCUGGGGGAUACCUGUAUGCAGCACCAUUAAGCUCUGGAUGAACAACUCCGGGAUCCAUGCUGGCCCAAUGUGUAGCUGCAGUCAAAUGAUCUUUGUUAACACAGUUUUUCAGACUGUCUGGAAUACGACCUGUGAUUGCCCUUCGGAUCUCUCGUGCUGCUUCCUCCCGCAUCUCAAUUGAGGCUUGUUCACUAUACCAGGCUGCAUGUGGGGUACAGAUCAGGUUUGGUGCAUCCUUCAAGGGGCCCUGACUAAAGCUGAAUGGUUCUGACUCAUGUACAUCUAAGGCUGCCCCUCGUAUCCUUCCUUCCUUCAGGGCCUGUGCAAGUGCUUUUUCGUCUACUAACCCACCUCGAGCUGUGUUGACC
rnacentral:lncRNA from 1 species